rnacentral:ncRNA from 1 species
CCAAGUCAAGGGCAUACCCAUUGAAAGAUGGGGUCGCAAAGUCACAGGUCUAAAGCUUCAUUGCUAUGACGGCUGGAUUACCGAG